AGGAUUCCCUCAGUAGCGGCGAGCGAACAGGGAUCAGUCCAGCACCGAAUCUCGCGCUCCUAAAGGGCGCCGAGAACUGUGGUGUUCGGGAGGACCUCGAGCGUCUGUCCGGUACGUAUCGUCCAAGUCUCCAUGAACGGGGCUAUCAACCCACAGAGGGUGUCAGGCCCGUAGGCUGGCGAGCCGAGACCGCGCACCGGGUCCGUUCCCAAGAGUCGGGUUGCUUGAGCGUGCAGCCCUAAGCGGGAGGUAAACUCCUUCUAAGGCUAAAUAUCGCCACGAGACCGAUAGCGAACAAGUACCGCGAGGGAAAGUUGAAAAGAACUUUGAAGAGAGAGUUCAAGAGUGCGUGAAACCGUUCAGGGGGUUAAACGGGUGAGCCCUCGAAGGUCGAGGCGUCCUUCUUCCCGUCUUUUUCGGUUGGGGCUUUUGAGGUCCGGGGGAUCCGUAACAGGACUCGCGGCUUCGAAGCAUCCCGGCCGGGGACCGCAAGUGAAGGGCGCGGUAGGACUCCGCGACCGGCUGAGACGCCGUCAGAAGGGCCGUCGGUAACGAGAGUCGUAGGGGUUCGCUCCUGCUUCAUUCGUCCGGCGACACUAGACGGUCGACUCGGCCGUGACCAGUUUCUCUCGGGGCCGGCGUGCCGCACCUCGAGAGCCGAUAGCGGAGAGUAAAAGUCGGGUCUCACCCGACCCGUCUUGAAACACGGACCAAGGAGUCUAACAUGUGCGCGAGUCGUCGAGUAGAUAACUAAACUCGCGAGGCGCAAUGAAAGUAAAGUGUCCCCGAUGAGGGUGCAGCACGAUGGGAGAUGCCGUCUCUAUAACAAACCGGAGCGGCCGCAUCCCAAGGGCGUUCGAUGCCGCGCCUCAGCCGGCCGAACGAACCCAGAGCGUACACGUUGGGACCCGAAAGAUGGUGACCUAUGCCUGACCAGGACGAAGCCAGGGGAAACCCUGGUGGAGG
rnacentral:rRNA from 1 species